UAUUCGACAAUCCGGUUAUUGGACUUGACACCGAAUGUAAGCCAUUCACUGGUCGACGACAGGAAGUCUCCAUUGCAUACUCGACCAAAUAACGUAAAACUGUAUGUAGUGAACUCGAUCCCCGUACCAUCAAACAGACCAAAGGUAUUUGACGAUCCAGUAGUUCGUUACUGUUAUCGUUGCAAAGAAGCGUGUACACAUGCAACGCAGGCAAGAGUCGUAUAACAUUUCAAACAGCACGAUGGUGGACGUUGUUGGUAUUAUGCAGCGGACCAAGUUCGACUUCCGUAUAUGUACCAGCAACCAUCUUCCAGUGAAACGAUAAGCACGGUCGGACGAGAUCCAUUGCCGGUUCGGAAGGUCACGCUUAAUCUAAUCCUGUGCUUUCUGCAGCAAAAAUUACAGCAAAGGACAGUUCCGUAAAAUGGAGAAGAAAAAACAAAUCCCUGCAGCAGAAUUGACAAAGUUUACUAGAAAGCAACAAUUACCACAAAAUAUUGAUGCGUCGCAGUAUCAAUUGACCAGAUUCGCCAAUUCAUACGAAUCCGCUUCCGUAUGGCAAAUAUACAAUGACUUACAUCGAUUUUGAAGAUUGGUCUCAAUAUGCACACCGGAGCAGCAGUAUUCGUAGUGUGCCGCUGAUGAACCUGAAUUCGACUGCGUCACUCGGCUUCUUCCGAAUGCUGAUAAACCUACAAUAUGAUAUUAAACAUCAAGACGGAGGUAUCAUCUCUAAACGAAUUCUUCCACUGGAUGGAAGGAAAACGCUGCGAAGACGAAUGGUCAUCGAGACACUAAAAAGGUAUCAGUUGGACCGGUUUUCUGCAAUGGUCAAAUCGUUUGCCAACGGCUUCCAGCUGGCCGAAGGAAAAGUGAUCCACGACUUUCAAAUAUUUCUCGGUCCGACGACUGAUCCAGUUGUUGCUGGACUAGAGAGCAACGCGGUCUAGUUGACCCGAUUGGUGCAACGACCAGUGACACAAUAUCCGCAACCCCAGAAUAUUGCUGCUGAGAUCAAUUUGGCCUGACAAGGAUGAGCGAUCAGCAUACUACAUAAUAACGUCUCGUUUGUUCUCGGGAAGUGUAUCAUUAUUUAAAAAAAAAAA